UAGGAUUGGAACACAAGGUGUGAU
rnacentral:siRNA from 1 species